rnacentral:lncRNA from 1 species
UAUAACCGGUGCCUAUUUCUUUAUUUGUACUAGUGUGGUGAAAGAGAUGAAGAACUUGAAGAAUAGUAGAAAGAGGAAGGGGAGAAUGAAGGGGAGAUGAGUUGGAGACGACAAUUGUGGAGGCGCGACAAGGAGGAAAGUAGAGAGGAGAGGGAAGAAAAAGAAGAAAAUAAACAAAAAGAGGAAGAGGAGGUGAAAGACCAAAUCACCACUUUUACCAACAAAUUUUACCAAUUAUUAAAAUCUUUUUGUAAUUACCAACAAAUAUUUACUCACAAGUUUCUGACUGCUAGCAAAAUUUAUCGACAACCACUUUAUUGAUGGACUAUUGACCAUUGGUAGGAUUUGUCAAUAAGACUCGUUGAUAAAAUAAAAUUUAUAUUUUUUACGGAUAUUUUUAUCGAUAAUGAAGAUGAGAACUUGAAUGGGUAUGGGAACGAGACAGUGUGAAUAUGUACAUACACAUCCUCAUCCCCAUACCUAAUUUAGAAAAUUGGAUAUUAC